rnacentral:tRNA from 1 species
GCGAGGAUGGCGGAAUCUGGCAGACGCACUAGAUUGAGGGUCUAGCGGGGAUAAUCCCUGUGGGGGUUCAAAUCCCCCUCCUCGCACUA